GUGGAUUGUGGCUCAGUGGUAGAGCGCUCGCUUAGAACAGGCGAGGCUCUGGGGUCAAUCCUCAGCACCACA
rnacentral:tRNA from 1 species